rnacentral:rRNA from 1 species
GUCCUAGCUGUAAACGGUGCACAUUUGCUGUAAGAGGAAUCGACCCCUUUUGUGGCGAAGCUAACGCGUUAAAUGUGCCGCCUGGGGAGUACGGUCGCAAGAUUAAAACUCAAAGAAAUUGACGGGGGCCUGCACAAGCGGUGGAGUAUGUGGCUUAAUUCGAUGCAACGCGAAGAACCUUACCUGGCCUUGACAUGUAUCUAGUAGAAGGGUGAAAGCCUGACGAGGUAGCAAUACCAGGAUACACAGGUGCUGCAUGGCUGUCGU